GAGGGUAUAGCUCAGUGUAGAGUGCGUGCCUAGCAUGCACAAGGUCCUGGGUUCAAUCCUCAGUGCCUCCA
rfam:Camelus ferus unplaced genomic scaffold scaffold56579, whole genome shotgun sequence.